UACGUAGGUGGCAAGCGUUGUCCGGAAUUAUUGGGCGUAAAGCGCGCGCAGGUGGCACUUCAAGUCUGUCGUCAAAGACUGGGGCUUAACCCUGGAAAGGCGGUGGAAACUGAAGCGCUAGAGUGCGGUAGGGGUAGAGGGAAUUCCCGGUGUAGCGGUGAAAUGCGUAGAGAUCGGGAAGAACAUCGGUGGCGAAAGCGCUCUACUGGACCGCAACUGACACUCAGGGACGAAAGCUAGGGGAGCGAAUGGG
rnacentral:rRNA from 1 species